CCUACGGGGGGCAGCAGUGGGGAAUAUUGCACAAUAGGCGCAAGCCUGAUGCAGCCAUGCCGCGUGUGUGAAGAAGGCCUUCGGGUUGUAAAGCACUUUCAGCGGGGAGGAAGGCGUUAAGGUUAAUAACCUUGGCGAUUAACGUUACCCGCAGAAGAAGCACCGGCUAACUCCGUGCCAGCAGCCGCGGUAAUACGGAGGGUGCAAGCGUUAAUCGGAAUUACUGGGCGUAAAGCGCACGCAGGCGGUCUGUCAAGUCGGAUGUGAAAUCCCCGGGCUCAACCUGGGAACUGCAUUCGAAACUGGCAGGUUAGAGUCUUGUAGAGGGGGGUAGAAUUCCAGGUGUAGCGGUGAAAUGCGUAGAGAUCGGGAGGAAUACCGGUGGCGAAGGCGGCCCCCUGGACAAAGACUGACGCUCAGGUGCGAAAGCGUGGGGAGCAAACAGGAGUAGAUACCCUGGUAGUC
rnacentral:rRNA from 1 species